ACUUGACUAGCUGAGAGAGGUGCAUGGCCGUCGUCAGUUCGUACUGUGAAGCAUCCUGUUAAGUCAGGCAACGAGCGAGACCCACGCCAACAGUUGCCAGCUCGUCCCCGGGAUGGUGGGGACACUGUUGGGACCGCCUCUGCGUAAAGAGGAGGAAGGAAUGGGCAACGGUAGGUCAGCAUGCCCCGAAUUAUCUGGGCUACACGCGGGCUACAAUGGGUGGGACAAUGGGUAUCGACACCGAAAGGUGAAGGCAAUCUCCUAAACCCAUCCGUAGUUCGGAUUGUGGGCUGCAACUCGCCCACAUGAAGCUGGAAUCUGUAGUAAUCGUGUCUCAAAAUGGCACGGUGAAUAUGUCCCUGCUCCUU
rnacentral:rRNA from 1 species